rnacentral:rRNA from 1 species
GACGAACGCUGGCGGCGUGCUUAACACAUGCAGGUCGAACGGAAAGGCCCUGCUUUUGUGGGGUGCUCGAGUGGCGAACGGGUGAGUAACACGUGAGUAACCUGCCCUUGACUUUGGGAUAACUUCAGGAAACUGGGGCUAAUACCGGAUAGGAGCUCCUGCUGCAUGGUGGGGGUUGGAAAGUUUCGGCGGUUGGGGAUGGACUCGCGGCUUAUCAGCUUGUUGGUGGGGUAGUGGCUUACCAAGGCUUUGACGGGUAGCCGGCCUGAGAGGGUGACCGGCCACAUUGGGACUGAGAUACGGCCCAGACUCCUACGGGAGGCAGCAGUGGGGAAUAUUGCACAAUGGGCGGAAGCCUGAUGCAGCAACGCCGCGUGCGGGAUGACGGCCUUCGGGUUGUAAACCGCUUUCGCCUGUGACGAAGCGUGAGUGACGGUAAUGGGUAAAGAAGUACCGGCUAACUACGUG